UAAUAUAAGAACGUUUUUGAC
rnacentral:miRNA from 1 species